rnacentral:rRNA from 1 species
UUCCGGUUGAUCCUGCCGGAGGCCAUUGCUCUUGGGGUCCGAUUUAGCCAUGCUAGUCGCACGGGUUCAGACCCGUGGCAAAUAGCUCAGUAGCACGUGGCCAAUCUACCCUCCGGAUCAGCACACCCUCGGGAAACUGAGGCCAAUUCUGUAUACGGCUCCCGACCUGGAAUGGUGGGAGCCCGAAACGCUCCGGCGCCGGAGGAUGAGGCUGCGGCCGAUUAGGUUGACGGUGGGGUAAUGGCCCACCGUGCCGAUAAUCGGUCUGGGUCAUGAGAGUGAGAACCCAGAGACGGACUCUGAGACAAGAUUCCGGGCCCUACGGGGCGCAGCAGGCGCGAAACCUUUACACUGCACGCCAGUGCGAUAAGGGGACCCCAAGUGCGCAGGCAUAGUGCCUGCGCUUUUCUGGACUGUAGGGCGGUCCAGGAACAAGGGCUGGGCAAGACCGGUGCCAGCCGCCGCGGUAAUACCGGCAGCCCAAGUGAUGGCCGCUGUUAUUGGGCCUAAAGCGUCCGUAGCUGGCCGCACAAGUCCGUCGGGAAAUCCGCCCGCUCAACGGGCGGCCGUCCGGCGGAACCUGUGUGGCUUGGGACCGGGAGGCCUGAGGGGUACGAUCGGGGUAGGAGUGAAAUCCUGUAAUCCCGCUCGGACCGCCGAUGGGGAAACCACCUCAGGAGAACGGAUCCGACAGUGAGGGACGAAAGCCAGGGUCUCGAACCGGAUUAGAUACCCGGGUAGUCCUGGCCGUAAACGAUGCUUGUUAGGUGUGACUCCCACUAC